CCUACGGGAGGCAGCAGUGGGGAAUAUUGGACAAUGGGCGAAAGCCUGAUCCAGCAAUGCCGCGUGAGUGAUGAAGGCCUUAGGGUUGUAAAGCUCUUUUACCAGGGAUGAUAAUGACAGUACCUGGAGAAUAAGCUCCGGCUAACUCCGUGCCAGCAGCCGCGGUAAUACGGAGGGAGCUAGCGUUGUUCGGAAUUACUGGGCGUAAAGCGUACGUAGGCGGUUAUUCAAGUCAGAGGUGAAAGCCUGGAGCUCAACUCCAGAACUGCCUUUGAAACUAGAUAACUAGAAUCACGGAGAGGUGAGUGGAAUUCCGAGUGUAGAGGUGAAAUUCGUAGAUAUUCGGAAGAACACCAGUGGCGAAGGCGGCUCACUGGACGUGUAUUGACGCUGAGGUACGAAAGCGUGGGGAGCAAACAGGAUUAGAUACCCUGGUAGUCCACGCCGUAAACGAUGAUAACUAGCUGCCAGGGCUCUUAGAGCUUUGGUGGCGCAGCUAACGCAUUAAGUUAUCCGCCUAGGGAGUACGGUCGCAAGAUUAAAACUCAAAUGAAUUGACGG
rnacentral:rRNA from 1 species